AUGACUAUGGCGAAAUUGGUAGACGCGAUUAGUUUAGGUCUAAUUAUUUAAAUAUAAGGGUUCAAGUCCCUUUAGUCAUA
rfam:Debaryomyces hansenii mitochondrion, complete genome.